rnacentral:rRNA from 1 species
CCUGUCACUUAGAGAUGAAGCUCGCAUUCUAUCAGCUUUGUUGGUGAGGUAACGGCUCACCAAGGCUAUUGACGGAUAGCUAGUCUGAGAGGAUGUUUAGCCACACUGGGACUGAGACACUGCCCAGACUCCUACGGGAGGCUGCAGUCGAGAAUCUUUAGCAAUGGACGAAAGUCUGACUAUGCGACGCCGCGUGAGGGAUGAAGGUCUUCGGGUCGUAAACCUCUUUCGACAGGGAAGAAACCUCUUGAUGUGAAUAGCAUCAGGAAUUGACGGUACCUGAAGAAGAAGCCACGGCUAGCUCCGUGCCAGCAGCCGCGGUAAUACGGAGGUGGCGAGCGUUACUCGGAUUCAUUGGGUGUAAAGGGCAGGUAGGCGGUUCUGAAAGUCGAAUGUGAAAUCUUCUCGCUUAACGAGAAAACUGCAUUCGAAACUUCAGGGCUUGAGACCGAAAGAAGAGAAUGGAAUUCCCGGCGUAAGGGUGAAAUCUGUAGAGAUCGGGAGGAACACCAGUGGCGAAAGCGAUUCUCUAGUUCGGUUCUGACGCUGAACUGCGAAAGUCUAGGGGAGCAAACAGGAUUAGAUACCCUGGUAGUCCUAGCCGUAAACGAUGAGCACUAGGUGUUGGUUCGAUAGAAUCAGCGCCUGCUAGCUAACGCACUAAGUGCUCCACCUG